GCCGCUUUCAGGUACUGAUCGCGAGUUUGGCAUGGAAUAUAAGUGCGUAUGCCGUCGUCGAAUGGCACCGGUGGUUGGAGGCUGAAGCGCUAAACUUUCUCCCUGCGCAACAAGCGUGGAUUUAGACCUCUAACAGGCCGUUUCAAAGGAAGUCCAUCCUGUUUUUCUUGGGUUUGAAACACCAGGGCUCUCAGGAAACGUUUUUCAAAGGAAGGGAGGACGAUUGUUGGAUGAGCACAUUGAAAUGCACCUACUACUGCGUGUAAAUAAAGUAUGUGUCUAAUUUGCAGGCAUAUUUUGACACUU